rnacentral:tRNA from 1 species
ACCUGUGAAGCAAUGGGUCAGUGUGUCUGGCUGUUAAGCAGAAGGUUGGUGGUUGAAGCCCACCCAGGAACA